GGGAGAGUGGCCGAGUGGUUAAAAGCGACAGACUGCAAAUCUGUUGAAGGUUUUCUACGUAGGUUCGAAUCCCGCCUCUCCCA
rnacentral:tRNA from 1 species